UACGUAGGGUGCAAGCGUUAAUCGGAAUUACUGGGCGUAAAGCGUGCGCAGGCGGUUAUGUAAGGCAGAUGUGAAAUGCCCGGGCUUAACCUGGGAACUGCAUUUGUGACUGCAUGGCUAGAGUGUGUCAGAGGGGGGUAGAAUUCCACGUGUAGCAGUGAAAUGCGUAGAUAUGUGGAGGAACACCGAUGGCGAAGGCAGCCCCCUGGGAUAACACUGACGCUCAUGCACGAAAGCGUGGGGAGCAAACAGG
rnacentral:rRNA from 1 species